ACUGCUAAAAAAUAUGAUAACUAUCUUCCUCAUUUUGUCGGCAUCGCGGGCAAAGGGCGUUAGCUACUGCUUUCUUCUGCUUGAGAUUGACUAGUGAAGGAAUGAAAUUCCAAGAUAGUCUCCAUACUGUUAAGGUAAUUUUUGAAGAGAUGUGUAGCUUUCACAAUUUUCUGUAAAAGUUUUUAGUCUCGAUUUGUAAAUUAAUAUUACUAGGAUUUUCGCUAGUCCCUUGUAAUAGUUUAUAGGCACUCCUUACCGAAAAUUCCCCUGACAUCUCCCCCUCCAAACUUGGAAGUCCUCGUAUGCUAGCUCUGCGAGUGGAAUCUGCAAAAUUUUCCUCACAAUUUCUGGUUGAAAGCAUAAGCCUUUCUCCAAGAGACCUCGUGCUGUCCAAACACUUCUCCAGGUAAGCGAAGGUAAAACCCCUAACCGAGUUUUAUAAAAGUCUGAAUUAGGAUGAUAUUUUACUUUUAAAACACGCGCUAAUAAUGAAUCUGGAAAAUUAACAAGAUGCCAACCUUGUUUUGCUAACAACGCAAUGUUAAAUUUUGCAAGAUCACGAAAACCAAGUCCACCUUCUUCUUUUAGCGAACAUAAUUCUUUCCAAACGUACUAAUGAAUGCCUUUUCUAUUUCGGCCUCUUUGUCACCAGAAUUUAGCUAUAAUUCCCUCUAGCUCAGUACACAAGGAUUUAGGAAGUAAAAAACAAGACAUAGUGUAAGUCGGGAUAGAUUGUAGAAUGGCUUUAAUGAAGACUUCUUUUCCACCUUGUGAAAGAUGUCUAAUGCUCCAGUUAUCUAUCCGUUGUUUAAAUCUAUCUUUUAAAGCUUGGAAAGAUGAUCUUUUCUUCCUCCCCACCAAAUUCGGAAGCCCUAAAUAUCAUUCUGGAUCUGUUGAUCUUCGUACUCCUAGGAUGUUUGAGACUGAUGUUUUAACCCAUUCUUGUGUAUUUGAACUAAAGAACACCGUUGAUUUUUUUAUAAUUUACACACUGUCCUGAGCAUAUUUUAUAUUCCUUUAGAAUCGAUUGAGAGAUUGCGCCCCUUCUUCUGUAGCUUCUGUAAACAAAAUACAAUCGUCUGCAAAUAAUAAAUGAGAAAUAGAUGGCCCAUUUCGACUUGCCUUCACUCCUUUAAGAAUUUUCCUUUUAAUCGCUAUCCUCAUCAGACUCGAAAGACCCUCCCCACAGAAUAGAAACAAAAACGGACUUAAGGGAUCCCCUUAUCGUAAUCCUCGAGUGGGACAAAAUAUCUCCCAUAUUUCUCUAUUAAUGACAACAGAAUAAGAGGCUAUGGACCGACACUUCAUUAGAGACUUGACCCAUCUUUCUUCAAAUCCUAUUUUCUUCAUAAUAUCUGCCAUUCAACUCUGUCAUAUGCCUUACUCAUAUCCAACUUAACUGCCAUUAGGCCAUUCCUUCCAAACUUCUUUUUCUUUAGAGUAUGCAGUAUUUCGUAUGAAAGCAAUACAUUGUCAAAAAUCAGCCUCUCUGGGACAAAAGCAUUCUGGGCUAAAUCAAUACAUUUUCCAACCACUCCCUGAAGCUGAUUGGCAAUCACCUUAGCUGUCAAUUUAUACAGUACGUUGCAUAGACUUAUAGGUCUAAAUUGAGUAAUACUGGUAGGAUUAGAAGUCCAUAUCUCCGUUCAAUUUCUGAAGGCAAUAUUCUGAAACAUCCUCUCCAAUAAUUGGCCAACACUUUUGAUAAAAUAAGGCUGGAAAUCCAUCCUCUCCUAGUGCUUUUGUGGGACCUAAUUUUGAUACAGCUUCCUAGAUCUCCUCCUUUGUAUAUCUUGAUGUUAGUCUUCGAUUGUCUUCUUCAGAAACGCAACAAUUAAUGCCAGACAGAAUUUGAUCUAAAUUUCCUGUUGUAUCUGACGAGAAUAACUUCUGAAAAAAUGCUCUCGCAAGUGCCCCUAUCUCUUUAUCUUCUUUUGUUAUUAUGCCAUCUUCACAUUACAUAUUUUGAAUCAGAUUCCUCCUUUUCCUCUGAGUUGCUUUUUUAUGAAAAAGUGUUGUAUUUCUGUCCCCAGGUUUCAACCAAUUAAUCCGAGCCCUCUGUUCCUAGUAACAUUCAUCCUUCUCAAUUUCAAAAUUCAACUAGAUUUUAGUAUCUAUUAUUUUUGCCAGAGUUUCAUCGUUUCUAUCAGCUUCCAAUAAAGUAGACAAUUUAGAGGACAACUCCUCAUUUUUAAACUUUCUUCUUCUUACAAUCUGCUUUGCCCACCCUUUUAGAUUUUUCCCCAUAUUUUCCAGUUUGUGUAAAAGAUCCCUAGUAGAGUUUCCCCAAAUACUUCGAACCUCGUCAAAAAACGUUUCUUCUAAAAUCCACCAAGCUUAAAACUUAAAGCUCUUAACAAUCUGUCUUCUUUUAUCCCUCUCUGUAGUAAUAAGUAAAGGACAAUGAUCUGAAAAGGAAUGAGUAAGAUGUAGAAUUGACGACUCAGGAAACAAAGACAUCCAUUCUUCAGUCGCUUCACCUCGAUCUAAUCUUUCCUGAAUAUUCGUUUCUGGCAAGUUACCCCUCUCCCAAGUAAACCAUCUUCCUGUGUAUCCUACAUCAAUCAAGUUACAUUCUUCUAACACUUGUCGAAAAGCUUCCAUCCUUCUCUCAUCUCUAGGUAAUCCACCUUUCUUUUCAAACCCAUAUAGAAUCUCAUUAAAGUCUCAACAAACCAGCCAAGGGUAAUCACUAUUAUUCCUUAAACAUCUCAAGAGGUGCCAAGAUGCAGCCCAAUCCUGUGAAUAAGGAGAACCAUAGAACCUUGUCAAUCUCCAUUUUUUCCCAUCAUCUGUAUUUUCAAUUAACACAUCAAUAUGUUGAAUUGAAUAACUUUGAAGCGUUAUAUCAGCCGUCCCACGCCAUGCUAAACAUAAUCCUCCUUUAGAACCAAUUGUAGCCACUUCUACUCCAUAUUGAUAACCACAACUACAUCGAACUUUCUCCAUCUGACUACUAUUUAACUUUCUCUCCAUAAAGAAGACCACUUGGGGAUUUGGUAACCUCAGCAUAGACCGAAGUCUUCUAACUGCCCAUAGAUUCCCCAAUCCACGAACAUUCCAACUUAAUAUUUUCAUUGCAUCUGGUUGGCAUGCCUUUUGGCAGCCGCUGAUGUUAAGUUGUUGAUUUUAGAUUUCCUCCUACUUCUGUUUACCAUCAUGCUAUUCUCUUUAGUCUCACCUCUAGCCCUUUUUUUUCCCUUCUUCCCCCAGUAACACAUUAUCUUCUAAAUCAUGGUCCAUAUCGUUUUGAAAUUGACCAGAUAUGAUUCUUCCCCCCUAUCUGCGCAAAUGGCAUUCUUCCUUCUAAACUAAAUCCCAGUAUAUGAUCUAUCUUCUUUAUGCUUUCUUCUUCUUUAUUGAUUCCCCCCUCUGUAAAUACUUGGUUUUGUCCUCCACCAUACCCCCCAUGAACACUUUCCCUUCCUCUCGUAGCCAAACACUACUCAUUGCUUGGGCUCUCUUAGAUUGGGCAUGUAUAGUUAGGUCCCAACCCAUCUUAACAACUUCCUCCCUUAACAUCAUCUUUGCUUCACAAAAUGAAUCACUAUGCCCUAAUUUACCAUAAUAAAAAUAGAACAAAGACGGUCUUUCAUAUUUAAAUCUGACAUAAGAGCAUUUAUCACACAUCAUGGUCUGAUUCUUUCUUUUAAGAGGCUUUCGAACAUCAAUUUUAACACUCAUAAAAUUCCUAUUUUCCUUGCCUAGAUUUGAACAGUCAUAUUGCAUAAAAUUUCCUAUGAAAUUUCCUAAUUGUACAGCCAAAUUUUGAAACUAAAAGCCUAUGGGGACGUCAUAAAUUUGUACCCAAAAAGGAUUAGCAAUUAAAGGAACUGUUAAUGAAUCCUCCCCCCAUUGCAACUGAUGCAAAAUCAAUAAAUGAUUAUUAAAAGACCAUGGAGAUCCCUUUAAGACCCUUUCUAGAUCCAUGAUGUGAUAAAAUUGGAAUAAAUACCCAUUUUCCCCCAGAUCACGAAUCUGAAUCCCCCGAACGGGAUGCCAAAUAUUAGCCAUAGUGUUCUUCAUUGCUGGAAAGUGUAUGAUACUGGCUGUUAAAAAGCACCCUACCAAACAAAGAUCCUCCUCUUCCCUUCUCAAGCCCGGAUCUACCUGUAAUUGCAAAACUAUUUCUUCCUCUUCAUCAAGGGAUAAUCCAGCAAACUCCGUUUCCAUUGAUAUGAAUAAACCAACUAUACCUUACUGCCUUUUGCUAGUAACUUCAAGAAAACUGCACCAAUUAACACUACCAACCUACGAGAACGAAAACGUAAUAACAAAGAAAACCUAAAAAAACGUGCCAAGAGGGUAGACAAAAGCGUGUUAGGGUAGCAGACUAUUCAUGAUUUACAAAGUGAUUUAGCUUUUAAUAUUAAUAUUUUAGAAAGUAAUUAGUUAAAAAUAAUAUUUAAAGUAUCAUAUAAAUUUUAAAUACUCACAAUAAUAUUACUUAUAAAAUAUCAAAUAAAUGUUAAUAUUACAUUAAGCAUAUAAAUAAUUUUAAAACUCCUAAUAUAUUAUAUAAAAAUUAUUAAAUGUUAUUCAUAUUAUUUUCAUAUUAUAAACUAUUCUUACUACAUUUUUACAAAGUAUAAUUUUGUUACAAACUAAAAGAAAAAUGACAAGAAAUUUAGAAAAAUAAUGGAGAAGGUAAUUUUUUUUAACUUGACAAAAGAUAAUAAUAAAAUUACAAAAUAUAAUAUAAAUGAAUUAAUAGUAGUAAAUGGGAAAUGAUAAAUGAUAAAUGAUAAAUUAUAAAUGAUAAAUGAUAAAUGAAUACGAAUCUUGAGUAAAUGAAUGUUUUUAUCUUCCAAGAAAUACACGUUAAAGAGACUUUGGGUCUAAUUUUGUAACUUAUGGACGACAUCACUUAAACUCAAUAGAAAACAAAAAAUUCGAAGGAAAGAGGAUAUAGUGAGGAAUGUCACUGUUUAAGUACAAAAUAUGACAUAUGAUUAAUAAGAGAAGAGGAUGAUAAGAUGGAAUCAUCCCAAAAACAUUUAGGAACACUCAAUUGAAAGAGAAGGGCUUUGGCUACUUUAAGAAAGUGUUUGUUUUUCUUUCAACUACACCAUUUUGGGAAGGAGUAUCAACACAAGAUGAUUGGUGAAUAAUACCAUUCUAAGUCAUAUAUAAGUUGAAAGUAUUGGAAAAUAUCCCUUUGCAUUAUCAUUUUGCAAAAUACUAACAUUAACAUUAAAUUGAGUUUUUAUUUUAGCAUUAAAGGUACAAAAAUAGGGAAUAACUCAGAAUGGUUUUUCAUUAAAUAUAACCAAGUUACGCAUAAAUAAUCGUCCACAAAAUAUAACAAAAUAACAAAACUAGACUUUAAAGUGAUAGGACUUAGACCCGAAACAUCAAAACAGACUAAUUCAAAAGGAAACAAGGACUCUUUCAUUAGUCCUAUGAACAAAGGGUAAAUAGUGAUCUUUAGCAAAUUGAAAUGAUUCACAAUCUAAUGAUAACAAGCUUUGAGAAUGAGGACACAACUUCUUCUAGGAUGAUAAUGAAGGAUGACCCAACUAGUAAUAUACUUCAAAGGGAGACUCCAUACUAGAACAAGUAAUAGAUCUCAACACUUGAGUAUUAAGGAAAUAAAGACCUCCAAGCUCACGACUUCUACCAAUAAUUUACUUCAUUGUAAUAUCCUAAAAUAGACGAUGAUCAAGAAAGAAUGAGACACAAUAGUUGAGAGCAUAUGUAAGCUUACUAAUAAAUAAUAAGUUAAAAAGAAAACUAGGCACACAUAAUGAUAAUGAUAACUCUUGAAAAAAGUUAUAUUUCAUGCCUUUAGAUCUAGCUAAUUGCAUAUACUUAAGUAAAUUUAGUUUCAUUUUAGGACAUUCCAUUCGUAAUUUUCAUUGCAUUACAUUAAAAAGAUUAGACUAUGCUUAAAUGUUAUUAUAUGUUACUUUUAAUUUCAUCUAGUAGGGCUGUGUUUGGUGGUUUAGUAGGUCUAAGUUGAGGAACAAGAAAUAAAGGAGUGAAGGUUUGUCGAGGGCAAAAGGUUCGAUAGUUUGUCAACAUGGAUGCCGUGACAAUUCCAAGAAGACCGAGUCAACACUCAACGCGUACCAGUUUUAGCCCAAUUGUACUUGUACAAAAAAAAUCUGCCUAAAAAAAGGAGAAAAUAAUCCUGGGAUGUUAGGUUUAUCCUAGAAAAAGAAUUUAAAAAGAGGAGAAGAUAAUCUUGGAUUGUUGAAAAAAGAAUUUAAAAAGAAGAGAAGAUAAACAUGGGUUGUUGGAUUUACCUCAGGGAAAAAGCUUAUAAAAAGUAAAAGGACGAAUCCUAAAAAGACGAACAAAAAUGAAGAGAUCCUUAAGCAAAAAUAGAGGGUAGCGGCUGAGUAGAGAUGGAAAAAGAAAGAUGAAAGUAAUCCCUCUAAGCCAUAGCAGGAUACUAUACUACUAGAGUGUGAACUAGACAUACCAAAGCUGUCUUCUCGAAGUCUUCUAUAUUUCUUACUUUGUUCCUCCGUGAAUUGAAUGAUGAAAAUAGUGUUGGAUGUUAUUUUGGUUUUGAAUUUUAUGUGCCAACCUAUGAGCUAAAUCUCAUAAGGUUAAGAUUACAUGGUGAAACUUUUAUUUUCUUUAACGGUUGAAGCAUAUAUCAAAAUCAAUUUACAGUUUCAUUCAA